GAUGAACGCUGGCGGCGUGCCUAAUACAUGCAAGUCGAGCGAAUGGAUUGAGAGCUUGCUCUUAUGAAGUUAGCGGCGGACGGGUGAGUAACACGUGGGUAACCUGCCCAUAAGACUGGGAUAACUCCGGGAAACCGGGGCUAAUACCGGAUAGCAUUUUGAACCGCAUGGUUCGAAAUUGAAAGGCGGCUUCGGCUGUCACUUAUGGAUGGACCCGCGUCGCAUUAGCUAGUUGGUGAGGUAACGGCUCACCAAGGCAACGAUGCGUAGCCGACCUGAGAGGGUGAUCGGCCACACUGGGACUGAGACACGGCCCAGACUCCUACGGGAGGCAGCAGUAGGGAAUCUUCCGCAAUGGACGAAAGUCUGACGGAGCAACGCCGCGUGAGUGAUGAAGGCUUUCGGGUCGUAAAACUCUGUUGUUAGGGAAGAACAAGUGCUAGUUGAAUAAGCUGGCACCUUGACGGUACCUAACCAGAAAGCCACGACUAACUACGUGCCAGCCGCCGCCGUAA
rnacentral:rRNA from 1 species